rnacentral:ncRNA from 12 species
AGAGGUAUGCAGUAAUAACUUAUAGAGUGCUUUGGUGUUCCCUCGGAGUAUCCGGGGCUUGAGCCAAAGAAUACCACCCUAUAAGACGCUACUUCU